GAGUCCUACGGGAGGCAGCAGUGGGGGAUAUUGCACAAUGGGGGGAACCCUGAUGCAGCGACGCCGCGUGGGUGAAGAAGUAUUUCGGUAUGUAAAGCCCUAUCGGCAGGGAAGAAAUUGGACGGUACCUGACUAAGAAGCCCCGGCUAACUACGUGCCAGCAGCCGCGGUAAUACGUAGGGGGCAAGCGUUAUCCGGAUUUACUGGGUGUAAAGGGAGCGCAGGCGGCGCGUUAAGCCUGGUGUGAAAGCCCGCGGCCCAACCGCGGGACUGCAUUGGGAACUGGGGCGCUGGA
rnacentral:rRNA from 1 species